UGGGGAAUAUUGCACAAUGGAGGGAACUCUGAUGCAGCGACGCCGCGUGAACGAAGAAGGCUUUCGAGUCGUAAAGUUCUUUUAUAUGGGAAGAUAAUGACGGUACCAUAAGAAAAAGCCCCGGCUAACUACGUGCCAGCAGCCGCGGUAAUACGUAGGGGGCUAGCGUUGUCCGGAAUCACUGGGCGUAAAGGGUUCGCAGGCGGAAAUGCAAGUCAGGUGUAAAAGGCAGUAGCUUAACUACUGUAAGCAUUUGAAACUGCAUAUCUUGAGAAGAGUAGAGGUAAGUGGAAUUUUUAGUGUAGCGGUGAAAUGCGUAGAUAUUAAAAGGAAUACCGGUGGCGAAGUCGACUUACUGGGCUCAUUCUGACGCUGAGGAACGAAAGCGUGGGUAGCAAACAGG
rnacentral:rRNA from 1 species